AUUGCUGGGAUUGAAGAUGAACAGAGGUUGGAGGUCCUAAAUCCAUCAAAUCAUAAUGUAAGGAGGAUAGUCUGUUAAAACUAUCUGAUUUGAUUUCUGAACCUAAACCGGCCCUUAUUACUUUCUUUGCACUAGUAGAAAAUAACAUCCAGGAAAGAAAACCCUGGAUUUUUGUUUUUCUUAUUUUCCUUAACCCGGAAAUAUUUGAUCCUGAAUUUUUGUUGUUUUACAACUAAAAUAUCGUGUAGAAAUCUGAUUCUUCCCAAUCAAUUAGUCAUCUUACCCAAAUGUUAGUCUGAUAUGUGAUUAAGUGAGCUUUAAAGUAUUAUUUAAAUAUUUGGCGCAUGCGCAUAAAUCGAACAAUAAAAAUAUAUAUAAGACAGAUCUGGUGAAGCUCAUGUGUGAGCCUGCUCUUGGAGCCUAUUUUCACAGUUAGUGGAUCUUAUAUAUUUGUGGCGCAAAGCGGGAAGGACUUAAUGCCCAGCGUCUCAGAAUUAAUUGGGUUCAAGAUAUCAUUGUGGUUGUUUCUGUUGUUUGGAGGUAUUAGGGGCUUUGCAGCAGAUAGAGGGAAAAAGUUAAUGACCAAAGCCUCGAGAUUAAUUGGGUUCAGAAUAUCAUUGCGGUUACAAGUUGUGGUGGAUGUAGCGUUACCAAGUCAACCACUGGAGGUAUUCAGGUGAUGGCUUCGGUAACGAGUCAAUUAGGGUAUUUGAAUGCAAUGUUAUAAUCUUAUUCAUAUAAUGCUGUCAUUAUUUUGAACAAGAUAAUUAAUUGUUUGGUUUUUCAGGUUCGAUGAAGAUUGUUAUGUUCAUUAAGAUUGUUAUUUAUUUUUUUAUUUUUUAUUUCCCACUUGAAUUGAUGGACAGGAAGAAAACUAAAGAAGAGUAAAAUGGCCUAGGACCAAUAUCUUGACCUAUAAUGUCUUGGAGAUCAGGGUCUGGGCUAAAUCUUUCUACUAAACAUAUAGCAAAUUUGAGUUUGAAUUUUAUAUAUUUUUCUUCCUUUUAUCUUCUCUUGUUUGAUUCUCGCACUUGUGUUGAAGUUAUUGGAGGUUCAUUGCAAGGCAAUAGUUCUUUUGGAAUUGAAAAAAGUUGUGGGCUGUAUUUAAUAUCAAGUGCAACUGCAGCAGAAUAAUAAAAUUAGGCAAACUUCUUAAAUUAUUUUCACCAUUACUGCAGAAGUUCUGUUCUUGCAGUUUUUGCAGUUGAUUUGGCAAUAGUAAUUGUCCACUUAAUGCAGGAUUGCUGAUGUUAUGCCUUAAUUGUCUAGAAUACUUCCUAAGACGCUCUAGAAUUCAUUAUGUCAAUGUUAUAUAUGCUUAUAAUGCAUACUGGUGAAUUGCUAAGUAUUUAUCUUCUUUUUUAAAAAUAUUAUUUGAAAUAUUCUGUUGUUAGAUAAGUUACUGGUUUAAAAUGUGCACUAAAAGAUUCACCUCUAUUUAUGCUUUGACAAGAAUUUGGGUUCUAUAUACGUGCAAACGUAAGCAUAAUUAUCAUAUUGUCUUCAUGAUCAUAAGUCAGUACGUUCCCAUCUCCUAAUCAACCUUAUUCAUAAUGUUCACCCAUUGCACUCGACAGCUUUACUCUGGCUAUGCGGAACAAAAUCAAGCACAAAGUAAAAAACUUUUUGGUUAGUAGUAGUAGCUUACAACUACUUUCACUAUAAGUAAGACAUUUUUUUUUUUUUGGCUUCAUUGAAUUUCAGUUUGUUAGUUUUUUUUUUUGAAAGAAACUGUCUGUACUUUCUCUCAAUGACUGUGUAUCCUGGAGGAGUUUGGAGGAAUUAUUAGGGGCUUUCUGGUGCCAAGGGGAAGUCUCUAUUUCCGGCCCUCUAGGUUGCACUCCUGGAAUAAAAGAGUCUGACCGUUGUAGUUUAUAUAGUUGGAUUCCUUUCACACCUCUUUCAGCAAAGUGGGAAGAAGGUUACUGCCAAAAGGCUCUAGAUUGAUGGGGUUCAAGAUAUCACUGCUGUUUCUCCUGGUAAAUGUGGCGUUGGCAUGUCGCUUGCUUGAGGUGAAUGUUAUUGACACUGGUGCGGAGACAGUUUUGCAGCUCUGCUAUUGCGUUUGGUUUCAUGCAAACUCUGCCUUAUAUUUAUACAUUAACAAUUGUAAACGCAGUGGGUGCUACAACUGCCAUGGGCGGUGGUGCUGGUUAGAAGUUUCCAACCUUGUCCCAAAUCAUAGAACUGAUGAGGCCGUAAAUCUCGAAGUGACUGAGGAAUGGGACCUGCAAGUUGUGAUUUCUGCAUUACAAGUGACUGAGGAAUGGAUUUAGAAGAGUGAGCAAGAGGGAGGGCAUACCAUCGGCUGUUCAGGUGGCCAGAAUGGUUUUUUAUUGGAAGGUAAUUGAAAUAGCAUCUCAUUGACUGACAGAAGUGGAUGAAUGAUUAAGCGGAUAUUCAUUGUCUUAGUGGCCUUGAUUUCUUCCUAUCUUUAUGUAUAUGGUCAAAUUAUUUGAAUUUGAGGGAAUAUCUUAACAACGGGCAAAGAGUAAAUCAUGUUUUUGUUGCCAUUGUUUAUGCUGUUUUGAUGACAAAACCUAAAAAAUGCGUUCAUAACUUAUUUCCCUCUUCUUUUUUUCUCUUAUUUAUUUAUCUACUUUUUUUUUCCUCGAUUGCACAAGAGCUCCAAGUUGUGAAUGAAGAUGACAGGGUGUGUGAUUAGUUGUGGUCCUUGUGGAAUUUAAUCAUU